AAGGCUUUAACUUAAUAAAAGUAUUUGAUUUGCACUCAGAAGAUGAGAGUUGAUAGCUUUCAGGCCUUA
rnacentral:tRNA from 1 species